GAGGUGAAGGCGAUCUGACUGUGACAUCUCUCACCUCAUUGAUCACAGGGUUGAUUCGGUUGAUCUGGCUGGCUAGGCCAGGUGGGUGUCCCCUUCCUCCCUCACCAUUUCAUGUGUGUCCCUCCGGAACAUGUGCUAGGUCAAAGAGGAAGAUCUUCCAGGAAUAGAGGAAGUCUUCAGUCAAGGGUAUAGGAGUAGCUGUGCUCCCCUGCUAGAACCUCCAAACAAGCUCUCAAGGUCAGUCUUUAUUUUAAAUAUCACUGCAGUCAUUUAAUAUAGGUUUCAUUUUAUUAUACUACAAAU
rnacentral:snRNA from 1 species